rnacentral:rRNA from 1 species
UUUAUGGAGAGUUUGAUCCUGGCUCAGGAUGAACGCUGGCGGCGUGCCUAAUACAUGCAAGUCGAGCGAACAGAUAAGGAGCUUGCUCCUUUGACGUUAGCGGCGGACGGGUGAGUAACACGUGGGUAACCUAC